rnacentral:tRNA from 1 species
UCCCUGGUGGCUCAGAGGGUAAAGCAUCUGCCUGCAAUGCAGAAAACCCGGGUUCGAUUCCUGGGUCGGGAA